CAAAACCAGAAGAGUCCAACCUGUUUCUCACCAUGGCUGAACUGAAGGCACGCGAUGAUGCACCCAAUCCACUGGUUGAGUACAUCACUGAGGCAGACCUAAAUGCACCAGCGAAAGAUGGGGAUAACAAUGGCACAAUUUGCAGUGAGUCAACACCCCUACCCAUAACCUCCCCGGAGGACCAAGCUGUGACACCUGAGAGCGUUGAUACAGCAGGCAGCAAUGGUGGGCUGAUGUCCUUCAAACAGUGAUUCACUGGAGAUGCACUUGCAUCAUUUUAGACGAUAAUUUACAUGUUUACAUCUUUCUUCUGCGUUGAAAAUGACUCACGAUUGCACAUUACAUAUCAGUGAGCUCUGUACGUUUCUUUUUUAUUCAAAUCAUUGUAUGUAUUUUUGAAUUGAGCGGCAUAUUAUAAAGACCUUCUCCUUUAAGCGACUGUUAAAAAUGUACCAGGUCAUUAUUUAUGAAAUAAGCAUAGACUUAAAGUGUUAUCAGCAGUGUAUCAAACAUGUAGACUGUCACUUCUUCCUUAUCGUUCAUUAUAGCUAAUGCUUCAGUUCUUUGAACAAACACCAGAUGUCAGUAGACAUAAUUUAGCCCUCAGCAAAGCCUCUGCCUUUUUUUCUAUAUCAUAAAUGCUUCAGCAGGUUAUGCUAUUGCCUUGUUUCCCUGAGGGGAUAUGUCAGACAUUGUGUGAUAUAUUUAUCCAUGUCAUGUUAGAA
rnacentral:lncRNA from 1 species